CCUAAGAAUCAAGGAGGGGUGGGUUUUUGUGAUAUUCACUGAUUCAACUUGGCACUGUUGGCUAAACAAGCUUGGCGUCUUAUUGAUAAUCCAGAUUCUCUAUGUGCACCCAUUUUGAAAGAGAAAUAUUAUCCAGACGGUGAUCUCAUGAGCGUCAAGUUCAAAAGCAAAGCCUCGUAUACUUGGCAAAGCAUUAUGGCAGGUGUUGAAACUUUGAAGCUUGGGCAUAUAGAGAGAACAUAA
rnacentral:rRNA from 1 species